GAACUCCAUGCCAUGGGACAAGCCUCCAUAUCUAAAGGUUCAAUGGCUCACCACCGACCAUAGACGUGGAUUGGCUGGCGUUCCCAGAAGCUCAUACAAUCCCUCAGUUGACAAUUGUAACCUCAGAACAAGAUUGGGCCGCCAUAGUCGAUGAAUAGGAACUCUCUAGCGAAGAAGAUGAACAGUAGUGUGCGGAAAAAGAUAAUCGCACCCAUACCAAAGAUAAUCGCAAUGCUCCAUACCAAACAUCCAAAGUCCCCUCGUAUCAAAGAUAAUAGCAUUCCAUUUGCUAAGAGUCAAUGGCCUCCAGCAGCAAGGGAAAGGCAUAUCAAGGACGACUCACACUCCUUGAAAUAAGACCAGAAUGCCGUACAUUUGCAUUUCUUGCAAUUACUCAGAAAUUAAAGGCAAUCUUUUUCCUCUGAAACAUCUAA